GUUACUGCUAUCGGUGUUCGCCUAAGCCAUGCGAGUCAUAUGUUCUUCGGAACAUGGCGUACUGCUCAGUAACACGUGGAUAACCUGCCCUUGGGUCCGGCAUAACCCCGGGAAACUGGGGAUAAUUCCGGAUAACGCACAUAUGCUGGAAUGCUUUAUGCGUCAAAUGGAUUCGUCCGCCCAAGGAUGGGUCUGCGGCCUAUCAGGUAGUAGUGGGUGUAAUGUACCUACUAGCCUACGACGGGUACGGGUUGUGAGAGCAAGAGCCCGGAGAUGGAUUCUGAGACAUGAAUCCAGGCCCUACGGGGCGCAGCAGGCGCGAAAACUUUACAAUGCGGGAAACCGUGAUAAGGGGACACCGAGUGCCAGCAUCAUAUGCUGGCUGUCCGGGUGUGUAAAAUACACCUGUUAGCAAGGGCCGGGCAAGACCGGUGCCAGCCGCCGCGGUAACACCGGCGGCCCGAGUGGUGAUCGUGAUUAUUGGGUCUAAAGGGUCCGUAGCCGGUUUGGUCAGUCCUCCGGGAAAUCUGACGGCUUAACCGUUAGGCUUUCGGGGGA
rnacentral:rRNA from 1 species